CCAAUAGCGUAUAUUAAAGUUGUUGCAGUUAAAAAGCUCGUAGUUGAAUUUCGGAAUCUGUCCGUCGGUCGGGCUUCACUGUCCGUACUGGUGUGGUGGGUUCUUACCUUCUGAAUAACCAGCAUGCCAUUCACUUGGUGCGUUGGGGAAGCAGGACUAUUACCUUGAAAAAAUUAGAGUGCUCAAAGCAGGCCAGUGCCUGAAUACAUUAGCAUGGAAUAAUAAAAUAGGACGGCAUGGUUCUAUUUUGUUGGUUUCUAGGAUCACCGUAAUGAUUAAUAGGGAUAGUUGGGGGGAUUAGUAUUCAAUUGUCAGAGGUGAAAUUCUUGGAUUUAUUGAAGACUAACUUCUGCGAAAGCAUUUGCCAAGGAUGUUUUCAUUAAUCAAGAACGAAAGUUAGGGGAUCGAAGACGAUCAGAUACCGUCGUAGUCUUAACCAUAAACUAUGCCGACUAGGGAUCGGACGAUGUUAAUUUUUUAAUGACUCGUUCGGCGCCUUACG
rnacentral:rRNA from 1 species